rnacentral:tRNA from 1 species
GGAGCCGUGCCUGAAAAAAGGGCCACUUUGAUAGAGUGAAUAACGAGGGUUAAAGCCCCUCCAGCUCCU